rnacentral:rRNA from 1 species
GUAGGGAAUAUUGGUCAAUGGGCGCAAGCCUGAACCAGCCAUCCCGCGUGGAGGAAGACGGCGCUAUGCGUUGUAAACUUCUUUUCAAGGGGAAGAAUUGUCCCGACGUGUCGGGGCUUGCCGGUACCUUUGGAAUAAGCAUCGGCUAACUCCGUGCCAGCAGCCGCGGUAAUACGGAGGAUGCGAGCGUUAUCCGGAUUUAUUGGGUUUAAAGGGUGCGUAGGCGGAUCGGUAAGUCGGCGGUGAAAUACCAUGGCUCAACUAUGGAAUUGCCGUUGAUAAUGUCGGUCUUGAAUAUGGUCAAGGUAGGCGGAAUGUGUAAUGUAGCGGUGAAAUGCUUAGAUAUUACACAGAACACCGAUUGCGAAGGCAGCUUGCUGGGCCAGAAUUGACGCUGAGGCACGAAAGCGUGGGGAUCGAACAGGAUUAGAAACCCCGGUAGUCC